rnacentral:tRNA from 1 species
GGUGGCUCAGUGGUAGAGCGCUUGCCUUGAAUGCAUGAAGCCCUGGGUUCGAUUCCCCAGCACCA